rnacentral:rRNA from 1 species
CCCGUGAGAACGCCCUUUUUCCCUCAACCAGAUGAAGGAGCCGGCAUCAGGCACAGAUUUCUUGCCCAUAACGCCUAGUUUCACCACACCCUCAAGGGCAUUCAGCAGUGACAAAUAUUAUCUAUAAGCGUCAGCUUGAUUUAGUUAAAGAAAAUUAGAGCCGGCCAAUCCGGUGCCAGCCGCCGCGGCUACACCAGCAGGCUCAAGUUGAUGACCAUCGGCGUUAAGCGUGAUUAAAGAAAACCUAAAUUAGAGUUAAAUAUGAAUUUAGUAGUGAUAAGCUUAUUACUUAGAAGAACAAAGACGAAAGUUACUCUAACCUUGCUUGAAUACACGACAGCUAGGGUACAAACUGGGAUUAGAUACCCCCA